rnacentral:rRNA from 1 species
CCUACGGGAGGCAGCAGUGGGGGAUAUUGCACAAUGGGGGGAACCCUGAUGCAGCGACGCCGCGUGGGUGAAGAAGCGCCUCGGCGCGUAAAGCCCUGUCAGCAGGGAAGAAAAUGACGGUACCUGAAGAAGAAGCCCCGGCUAACUACGUGCCAGCAGCCGCGGUAAUACGUCGGGGGCACGCUUUAUCCGGAUUGACUGGGUGGAAAGGGGGCGCAGACGGCGAUGCAAGCCAGGAGGGAAAGCCCGGGGCCCAACCCCGGGACUGCUCUUGAAACUGCGUGGCUGGAGUGCAGGAGGGGCAGGCGGAAUUCCUGGUGUAGCGGGGAAAUGCGUAGAUAUAAGGAGGAACACCGGUGGCGAAGGCGGCCUGCUGGACUGCAACUGACGUUGAGGUCCGAAAGCGUGGGGAGCAAACAGGAUUAGAUACCCUUGUAGUC